rnacentral:rRNA from 1 species
UACGGGGGAUGCAAGCGUUAUCCGGAUUUAUUGGGUUUAAAGGGUGCGUAGGCUGUGAGGUAAGUCAGCGGUGAAAUGCCCCCGCUCAACGGGGUGAAGUACCAUUGAUACUGCCUUGCUGGAAUGCGGAUGCCGUGGGAGGAAUGUGUGGUGUAGCGGUGAAAUGCAUAGAUAUCACACAGAACACCGAUUGCGAAGGCAUCUCACGAAUCCGCUAUUGACGCUGAUGCACGAAAGCGUGGGUAUCAAACAGG